rnacentral:siRNA from 1 species
UUGGUUUUAGGUUGGAAGCUCA